CUUCACCACCCUCUGCUGCCAACCACACUGAGAGAACUCCAGAGCCCAACGGUUGGUCAGUUGGUCGCUCUGGGCACCAACUGCCAGGCACUGGGUUGCCGUGGCAACAAACUGGCUAGGGAAGAGGAGGGGCCAGGAACCUGGCCCGCUCUCUGACCAGGGCAGUAGGGGGGCACCUCACUGUUUGUGCUUUGAUUGGUGUUGGGAGUGGGUCAGAAAGAGGACUGUGGCCAUCUCCAUGGAAACACGAGAGCCCCUCUAGCCAAGGGGUGAGACAGGAGCUUCAAGCAGUUCCCAGGAGCGCAACACGGCGGGACGGUGAGCGAGCUGGAGACAGGAAGGAAGAAGCCCAUCUGCCACCUAGUUCCUGAAAGGUGGUAUCAAGAGAAGUGAGAGAUCAGUGUGAGGGCCCCGACUCACCCCUUCAGAUCCAGUGUAGGCCCCCCCACCCCUCUUUUACGCCCCUUUGGAACCAGGGACUCUGCACCAGCAAGCACCCCAGGGCCCCUGCUUCCUUAAAGCAAGGGAGGGCUGGGGUGGCAAGGCAGGAAAGAGAGAACCAGGGAAGAGUUACAGUGGGGGCGGGGGUAGUCUGAGCACCAAGACAGAGAAGGAAACCCAGCAAGGAAUGGGUGGGCACAAGUGCGUGGACACCCUCCAGGGCACACCCGGCACACUGUGUCCACAGGCCACUGCCGGCCUGCACAAAGCUCACAAAACCAAAAAAAGCUCCAUGGGAUGCACAUGGGAGGGACACACACACACACACACACGCACACACCCCUAACAUCUGUGUACAUGACAGACAUGUCCACACAUCCAAGUGGGCACCCCCAAAUCCGGAUGAGAACUAAGAAGCCCGGCAAAAUGCCUCAUUCUCCAUGCCCAAAGAUAAAUAAUUCAUUUGUUGUGUAA